CCUCUUGUUCGGGAUAACUGCUGGAAACGGCAGCUAAUACCGGAUAAGCUCCCCCAAUUGUAUGGGGAGGAAAGGAGGCCUCUUCAUGAAAGCUUCCGCGAGGGGAUGAGUCCGCGUCCCAUUAGCUAGUUGGUGAGGUAACGGCCCACCAAGGCAACGAUGGGUAGCCGGUCUAAGAGGAUGACCGGCCACACUGGAACUGAAACACGGUCCAGACUCCUACGGGAGGCAGCAGUGGGGAAUAUUGCGCAAUGGACGAAAGUCUGACGCAGCGACGCCGCGUGAGGGAUGAAGGUUUUCGGAUCGUAAACCUCUGUCAGGAGGGAAGAAAGCGCAUGGCGCCAAUCAGCCAUGCGUUGACGGUACCUCCAAAGGAAGCGCCGGCUAACUCCGUGCCAGCAGCCGCGGUAAUACGGAGGGCGCGAGCGUUAAUCGGAAUUACUGGGCGUAAAGCGCGCGUAGGCUGUUGUGUAAGUUGGGGGUGAAAUCCCACGGCUCAACCGUGGAACAGCCCUUGAUACUGCGCGACUUGAAUCCGGGAGAGGGUGGCGGAAUUCCAGGUGUAGGAGUGAAAUCCGUAGAUAUCUGGAGGAACAUCAGUGGCGAAGGCGGCCACCUGGACCGGUAUUGACGCUGAGGCGCGAAAGCGUGGGGAGCAAACAGGAUUAGAUAUCCUGGUAGUCCACGCUGUAAACGAUGGAUGCUGGAUGUCGGGGAGUAAUCCCC
rnacentral:rRNA from 1 species